rnacentral:misc_RNA from 1 species
AUUCGUAAAUCGGUGACAUAAUUCUAUCGUUUCUUCCUUUUCACUUUCGCAACAAUCAAUUAUUUGGUUUUUUCUUUGUGCAUUUUAUUUUUUUUUUCGGCUCUUUUGUUACGACUAAUUCUCUAUUUAUCUCUUGCAUACAGGGUAGUUUUGUCUUUGAUGAGAGGCAACUUUUUUUAUGUAAUUGUUGGAGAACGGCAAAAAAACGGAAACAAGAAGGUGAAGAAAAAUUUAUACCUAUAUCAUACUUAUCACCGUCUGGGCUCUGUUAUAGGUAUAUCUACUUCAUAAUAUAUGAACCUGUCUCACCCCAACACUGCUGCACCUGGAUAUUUUGGGAUCACGCUAUAAACGAAUGAAUAAAGGCAUAAAUAAAUCAAUGAAUGAGAGAAUGAAUAAAUAAAUAAAUAAAUCGCUGUGGUUGUAGAAUAACAUCUUUUUCCCGUCUCAUCCCAAUAGAUUUUCGUGGCAUUCCCGCGACUCAUUGUCAGUCGAUGCUACCGAACCCCGACGCCCGGUAGCCGCGAGGAUCAAUAUUACCCCUCCCACCCCUUGCAAGGCUCUCACUCACCCUCUCCCUCUCUCUCUCUCUCUCUCUCUCUCUCUCUCUCUCUCUCUCUCUCUCUCUCUCUCUCUCUCUCUCUCUCUCUCUCUCUAUCUCUCUUUCAUAAAUUGUCGCCUCAUCGCCUCUUCGCCUUUUCAUCUUUCUGUUUUUUCGACGUUUUAUUAGCAUCCCAACCCCCUGUCACCAAUUUCUUCGGAAUUCUCGAGAGGAACCUGCGUUUUCACUGAAUUAAUAUGUGCCCGGUAGAUAAAAUAAACAAAUAAAUCGAUCGAUAAACUGAGGAAAUGAAAAAAAUCUGUAUCAUUGCAUACAACGAAUAGGAAACCGAAAUCGCACGUAGAAAUAACGUGUUAUCAAUUUCGAAUCUCGUGAAUUGAAAGAACGUCGAUCGAUCGAUCAAUUGAUACGCUAUGCAAACGUACGAGAUUUUUCUCUUCUUUUUCUUUCGAGUCGGUGACAAAUUCGUGUACAUGAUGCAGCGGCGAUAUCUGGUAUAUCAUAUACACGGUGUCGUUUUUCGCAGCAUCGCGUCUAGCUACUAUAUUAUUAUGUAACAGGGUGACGCUGCACCGUGACGAAUGUAAUGCGUGUUGCGUAUUAUUUUUAUAGGAUUCUUUUAAUCAAUAACAUAAUGGUCCUAUAGAACAUUGCUUAUCAUUUACUCGUUAUACAUAUUAUAUAACAUACAUAAUAUGCAUUAUAUAAUAUGUAUAUAAUACAUAUCAACUACAUACA